rnacentral:rRNA from 1 species
GGUAAUACCGGCAGCUCAAGUGGUCGUCGCUUUUAUUGGGCCUAAAACGUCCGUAGCCUGUUUGGUAAAUCUGUGGGUAAAUCAACCAGCUUAACUGGUUGAAUUCUGCAGAGACUGCCAGACUAGGGACCGGGAGAGGUGUGGGGUACUCGAGGGGUAGGGGUAAAAUCCUGUCAUCCUUCGAGGACCACCAGUUGCGAAGGCGCCACACUGGAACGGAUCCGACGGUCAGGGACGAAGCCUAGGGGCACGAACCGGAUUAGAUACCCGGGUAGUCCUAGGUGUAAACGCUGUGAACUUGGUGUCGGGGGUCCGCAAGGGGUCCCCGGUGCCGGAGUGAAGAUGUUAAGUUCACUGCCUGGGGAGUACGGUCGCAAGGCUGAGGGUAAUACCGGCAGCUCAAGUGGUCGUCGCUUUUAUUGGGCCUAAAACGUCCGUAGCCUGUUUGGUAAAUCUGUGGGUAAAUCAACCAGCUUAACUGGUUGAAUUCUGCAGAGACUGCCAGACUAGGGACCGGGAGAGGUGUGGGGUACUCGAGGGGUAGGGGUAAAAUCCUGUCAUCCUUCGAGGACCACCAGUUGCGAAGGCGCCACACUGGAACGGAUCCGACGGUCAGGGACGAAGCCUAGGGGCACGAACCGGAUUAGAUACCCGGGUAGUCCUAGGUGUAAACGCUGUGAACUUGGUGUCGGGGGUCCGCAAGGGGUCCCCGGUGCCGGAGUGAAGAUGUUAAGUUCACUGCCUGGGGAGUACGGUCGCAAGGCUGAG